rnacentral:lncRNA from 1 species
UUUUUUUAAGUAUCCUCCAUGCUGGAUUACAGAAGCCUAAUAGACACUUUCUUUGUUCUUGAAGGGUUAAUAGAAUAUCUUUCUCUUCCAAUAAACAGUUGGAUAAAUAUGAUAAAGUGCUCCUUCAGGAAUUACCAUGGCACAGAUCAUUUCUUCCCUCAGAGAAGUGCCUGGCUUUUGUUUGUUUUUUGCUUUUUGUUUUUUUUGAUGGAGUCUUACUCUGUCGCCCAUGCUGG